rnacentral:rRNA from 1 species
UACGUAGGGUGCAAGCGUUGUCCGGAAUUAUUGGGCGGAAAGAGCUCGUAGGCGGUCGGUCGCGUCGGCUGUGAAAACUCGGGGCUCAACCCCGAGCCUGCAGUCGAUACGGGCAGACUAGAGUGCUGUAGGGGAGACUGGAAUUCCUGGUGUAGCGGUGAAAUGCGCAGAUAUCAGGAGGAACACCGGUGGCGAAGGCGGGUCUCUGGGCAGUAACUGACGCUGAGGAGCGAAAGCGUGGGGAGCGAACAGG